UACGUAGGGUGCGAGCGUUGUCCGGAUUUAUUGGGCGUAAAGAGCUCGUAGGCGGUUUGUUGCGUCGGCUGUGAAAUCUCCACGCUUAACGUGGAGCGUGCGGUCGAUACGGGCAGACUUGAGUUCGGUAGGGGAGACUGGAAUUCCUGGUGUAGCGGUGAAAUGCGCAGAUAUCAGGAGGAACACCGAUGGCGAAGGCAGGUCUCUGGGCCACUACUGACGCUGAGAAGCGAAAGCAUGGGGAGCGAACAGG
rnacentral:rRNA from 1 species